rnacentral:misc_RNA from 1 species
GCCUGUUCGAGCGUCAUUACAACCAUCCAGCUUGCUGGGUCUUGGGCACCGCCGCCUGGCGGGCCUCAAACACAGUGGCGGUACGGCCGGGCCCUCAGCGUAGUACAUCUCCUCGCUGUAGGGUCCCGGGCGGCACUGGCCAGCAACCCCCAUUUUUUCAGGUUGACCUCGGAUCAGGUAGGGAUACCCGCUGAACUUAA